UCAAUUAUCUCUCUCGUCCAAUCAGAUCGCAGCGUUCUUUUCAAAGCGGCGUCCUUUGAAAUUGGAUCCUCGUAACUGGUCUAAUCCUCCGCGUGGCUCAAGACGGAGAAGAUGAACUAGUGCGCCUACUUAUUGAUUUAUUCAUGUUUAUGCGUAUAUGUGGAAGUUACACUUAGAAAAACGCCAAGCCGAGCGAUAUAAAGGUUGAAGAGAAUGCAGGUGAAAGAUCUUUAGUUUUGCUGGUAGAUGUAGCCAUUAUUGAACAGUCAAAAUGAUUGUUUCCAGCAGAAACUUGAUGAGGCACAAGGCUCUGUUUUCUUACCACCACUAACAUUAAACUACAGUGCACAAGAGGCUUGUUCAACAUGACUGAGACCAGAAAUAACCAUUUUGCCAUUCCUUGAUCUGCAAUUAAUAUAACAGAAGUGCCUUUCAUCUCAAAAUGCUGUGUGUCAAUGAGCACCAUCACAACUUUUGACGAACUUUAAAGGGAUAAAAAAUAUU